rnacentral:lncRNA from 1 species
AAAAAAGUUAAAGUUUAUGUAUUAAUUGAUUAAAAAGUAUUAUUGUUUAAAAAUCAAAUUUUAAAUAUACUUUGUGUAUUUAAAAGUAAUUAAUCUUAAUGUAUUAAUAGUUGAAGAUUAAAAGUUAAUAUUAUCGUAAGCUAUACUCACUCCGUCCACGAAAGAAUUUCAUAUUUUUCCUUUUUGGGACAUUUACAGAUGAACUUCAUACCUAUUUUUGGACUACACCCACCACUCUCAAUACUAAUUAAAAUAACUUUUCACCC